rnacentral:rRNA from 1 species
UACGUAGGGGGCAAGCGUUGUCCGGAAUCAUUGGGCGUAAAGAGCGUGUAGGCGGCUUGGCAAGUCUGACGUGAAAGCCCGCGGCUCAACCGCGGAUUGUCGUUGGAACUGCCUCGCUAGAGUCCGGAAGAGGAGAGCGGAAUUCCUGGUGUAGCGGUGGAAUGCGCAGAUAUCAGGAAGAACACCCGUGGCGAAGGCGGCUCUCUGGGACGGUACUGACGCUGAGGAGCGAAAGCAUGGGAGCGAACAGG